CUGCGGAAGGAUCAUUAUUGAAAUAAACCUGAUAGGUUGUUGCUGGUUCUCUUGGGAGCAUGUGCACGCCUUGUCAUCUUUAUAUCUUCUUCAUUUACCCCCAAUGUAUGUUGAUAGAACGUCGUCCCAUAAAAUAUAUAUACAACUUUCAGCAACGGAUCUCUUGGCUCUCGCAUCGAUGAAGAACGCAGCGAAAUGCGAUAAGUAAUGUGAAUUGCAGAAUUCAGUGAAUCAUCGAAUCUUUGAACGCACCUUGCGCUCCUUGGUAUUCCGAGGAGCAUGCCUGUUUGAGUGUCAUUAAUAUAUAUCAACCCUUCUCUUGUUGAAUGGGUUUGGAUGUGGGGGUUUGCUGGUCUCUUAUAGGGUUCAGCUCUCCUGAAAUACAUUAGCAGAACAACCUGUUCAUUGGUGUGAUAACUAUCUACGCUUUUGAAUGUAAAGGGAAAGUUCAGCUUUCUAACCGUCUUGGACAAUCUAUC
rnacentral:rRNA from 1 species